rnacentral:tRNA from 1 species
AGGGGAGACCUAAUUCGGGUAUAAGACGAAAAAAUAGUAGUCGAAACCAAGAAUCAAUCCCAAAAGGUCGGAGCGAGGCAUGAGGCUUUCAAACUAGGUUCUGGGUUCAUAAAAGACCUGAAUCAGGAACAAGGGCUAUUAGCUCAGGUGGUUAGAGCGCACCCCUGAUAAGGGUGAGGUCCCUGGUUCGAGUCCAGGAUGGCCCACCUGCACAGGUGGCAAAAACAAAAGAAGCGAGGAAUCAGCACCUUAUCUUACUUAUAUAGUAAGAGAGAAUGCUGGCUCUGAGUAAAGAGUCCAGAGGAACCUUGAAAACUGCAUAGAGCUAGGUGAAAAAGCCAAAAAAGAAGACCGCAAGGUCAAGCUAAUAAGGGCUAACGGUGGAUACCUAGGCAC